CCUACGGGAGGCAGCAGUAGGGAAUGUUCGGCAAUGGGGGGAACACUGACCGAGCAACGCCGCGUGAAAGAAGAAGUUAUUCGUAAUGUAAAGUUCUUUUAACAGGGAAGAAAGAGAAAUUUGACGGUACCUGAAGAAUAAGCUCCGGCUAACUACGUGCCAGCAGCCGCGGGAAUACGUAGGGAGCGUGCGUUAUCCGGAAUGAUGGGGCGUAAGGGGUGCGUAGAUGGCAUAGUAAGUCUUUUGUAAAAAUGCUGGGCUCAACCCAGUAGGGCAAAAGAUACUGCAAAGCUAGAGUAUGACAGAGGCAAGUGGAACUACAUGUGUAGCGGUGAAAUGCGUAGAUAUAUGUAAGAACACCAGUGGCGAAGGCGGCUUGCUGGGUCGAUACUGACAUUGAGGCACGAAAGCGUGGGGAGCGAACAGGAUUAGAUACCCGAGUAGUC
rnacentral:rRNA from 1 species